UAAUACGUAGGAGACGAGCGUUAUCCGGAUUUAUUGGGCGUAAAGAGGGUGUAGGUGGUUCUUCAAGUCAGAUGUAAAAUCUCCCGGCUUAACUGGGAGGGACCAUUUGAUACUGCUGGACUAGAGUGCAGUAGAGGGAGACGGAAUUCCCGGUGUAGUGGUGAAAUGCGUAGAUAUCGGGAGGAACACCAGCAGCGAAGGCGGUCUCCUGGGCUGUUACUGACGCUGAGACCCGAAAGCGUGGGGAGCGAACAGGAUUAGAUACCCUGGUAGUCCACGCCGUAAACGAUGGACACUAGGUAUGGGGAGUAUCGACCCUCCGCGUGCCGAAGCUAACGCAUUAAGUGUCCCGCCUGGGGAGUACGGUCGCAAGACUA
rnacentral:rRNA from 1 species